rnacentral:tRNA from 1 species
GCCUUCGUGGCAUAACGGUUAGCAUAGUUGACGCCUAUUCGAGAGGUCCAGGUUCGAGUCCUGGCGAGGGCA